GUCGGUUGUGUCGGAUGUAUCUGAUGUUCUGUGACAUCGUCUGGCCGGGUCGAAGUUGGCUGUCUGGCUGCUGCCUGUUUCGGUGAAGACCCGUGGGAUAGGACACGGCUCAACAGACAACGAGACACACAAAAGGCAACAAGAGUCGAAGAAUGCCAAUGGCAUGGGAAUUUACAGUUUUUGCCUCUCACAUACAUACAAAUAUAAACACACAAUAAAACAUAAUGCUCUGCUAUUUAAA